GUCUACGGCCAUGCCACCCUGAACAAGCUCGAUAUCUGAUCUCGGAAGCUUAGCAGGGUUGGGCCUGGUUAGUACUUGGAUGGGAGAUCACCUAGGAAGACUAGGUGCUGUAGGCA
rnacentral:rRNA from 1 species